rnacentral:tRNA from 1 species
GCCUUCGUAGUGUAAAGGUAGAAUACUCGACAGGUAUUCGAGAGGUCCAGGUUCGAGUCCCGGCAAAGGCG